CACGUGAGCUUCUUUCGCCAGACGAGAAUUUAAGAGGACAACAUAACUGCUACGUGAACCACGCUUUUGGAGACUCAGCACUCAUCGUCGAUUUUGAACUUAGUGCCGACAGAAGGAUUGUUGCAGACAGUACCUCAAAUAAAAUGGAGGAGAAUUUUGACGGUCCACGACUAUCAACAGGAAGGCCUAAGGACUUUAGAUUUAGCUCCUUCGAUAAAGAGGAAACAACUGAAUCGUCUACAACGACAACUAGAGAAUGCUUUGUAUCUAGCGAGUUCAUUCGGGAAUCGGAAGAUAGUGGUUUAACGGAAGAUAGUGGUUUAACGAAUGAGUCACACGAGGAUCAAAGCACGUGAUGGUAAACUACAUUGUAUGGAACCAGUAACAGUUGGCGUUAGUUUUCACAUGACCAUAGAUGAAACCAGUGCAGCAGCCGCAGUUUGGUAAAUGCCAAGAUAUGAUGAAAGAAUGCCGCACAUAGCAGUGAUUGAUGUCGGAAUCUUUCCAGACCAGAGGAAUCCGGGUGGUAACCAGUUGACUGCAUUGCAGAGGUCUGCGAUGUUCU